rnacentral:lncRNA from 1 species
GAAGAGGUAAUCCCGCGGCGGCUGCUUGGCUGAGGUGUUCGCGGUGGCGGCGCGGCGGCCGCUUCCUUCUCCCGCCGCCGCCUCGGCGCCCGCCCGCCAUGGCAGGUUUUGAGGCGCCAGAAGAGCCCAGCAGUAGGUCCUUCUCCGAGACUCCCUGUCGGUGAAGAUGCGGGACCUCAACGGGGAGAGCCGGCCCGUCCAGACCGCCAGAGCGCUGGAGCGUGUGCAGAGCUUCUGACUCGGAGCGCACCUGUCCCCAGGUGAGGUCUGGGAGGAGCCUUAACUGCAGCCACCCCUGAGCGGGAAAGGGCAGGAGCAGCAGCAGCACAAUCCCUGCUGGGACGUCGCCACCUGCCUGAGCCUCCAGUUCGCCAUGGCCGGCACGGCCACGCUCUGUAAACCUGUGUGAAAAGUACUACGGGGGGACCUGCACGCCGGACUUCGCACUGCGUCUCAAGCCGUCGGAAUUCAGCCGUUUUAACUGUUGGGUGAUGCCACCUGGACCUUGGUGGUUUAUUUUUAAAGUAGGGUCUUAAAUAACAACGCAGAUUUCCCAAGACCAAAAUCCCAGAGGUGACACACUAAGUGACAGGAACCUCACCCGCAAGCCCAGGUCGCGGUGGCGUCCGGGGGCGGGACAGCGGGCUUCCAGGCUCCCGCGAGGGCAGGGCGCGUUCUGGUUACGGGCGCUGUGGACGGGCAGGAACGAAGCGUCUUGUCGUCCCUGCCUCUGAAUUAACGCGGACGGGGCCUCCUCAGUUCACCUUCAUUUGGGAAUCGAGGGUCACGAGUACAUUUAACUUAAAGCUGGCUCUUGCUGUGCGUUGCCGGAGGCACAGCUUACAGAUCUGACACGGGGAACAGAGUUGCUUAAGUACCCGUCAGCCCUGGUCCCUAAGGAGCAGCAGUUCUGGGAGUUCCCGUCGUGGCACAGCAGUAAUGAACCCAACUGGUAUCCAUGAGGACGCGGGUUCGAUCCCUGGCCUCGCUCAGUGGGCUAAGGAUCGUGAGCUGUGGUGUGGAGCGCAGACGUGGCUCAGAUCCCGCCUUGCUGUGGCUGUGGUGGAGGCUGGCAGCUGCAGCCCCGGUUCAGCCCCUAGCCUGGGAAGCUCCACAUGCCGCGGGUGUGGCCCUAAGGUCAAAAAAAUAAAGGAAAAAAAACUCUAG